UCCCAGAAUGAUAUCUGAAACAGAGCUGA
rnacentral:piRNA from 1 species